rnacentral:rRNA from 1 species
AUGUCGUCUUCGUCCAUGGCGCGGCACGGCCCGUCGAGGGCCGGCGAGGCGUGGUUCUGCACCACCGGGCUGCCCAGCGACGUCGUCUUCGAGGUGCAGGACAUGAGCUUCCACCUCCACAAGUUCCCGCUCAUGUCCAAGAGCCGCAAGAUCAGCCGCAUGCUUGCCGAGCAGGACGAGCAGCGUCCGCCGGGCCAGCCGCGGCGUCGGCGGCGUGGGAGCUCCGGAGGCAAUGCCGAGGAGCAUGCGGCGGCGGAAACAGAGAUUGAGGAAGCAGAGGAGGAGGACGGGGACGAGGAACAGCAGCAGGUUAGUAUGGAGGACGGCAAGUCGUACCGCAUCACUUUCCCGGACUUCCCCGGUGGGCCGGGCACCUUCGAGGCGGCGGCCAAGUUCUGCUAUGGCGUCCGCGUCGAACUCACGCCCUGGAACGUCGCGCCGCUGCGGUGCGCGGCCGAGUACCUGGAGAUGACCGAGGAGCACUCCGAGGACAACCUGGCCGCGCGCGCAGAGGCCUACCUUUCGCAGGCCGUGCUCCGCCACCCCGGCGAGGCCACCAAGGCGCUCAAGUCCUGCGAGGACCUGCUGCCGCACGCCGAGGAGCUCGGCAUUGUCGCCCGCUGCGUGGAGGCCAUCGCCGCGCGCUCGUCGGCGACGUCGCGCUCCUGGUUCGGCGACCUGGCCGUGCUCGGCCUGCACAUGUACAAGCGGGUGAUGGCGGCCAUGGCCGCGCGCGAGGACGUGAGGACCGAGGCUUUGGAGGGCUGCCUCGUGUCCUACGCCAAGGCCACCCUCCCCGGGCUGUCGAGGUCCAUGAGGUGGCGCCGCGCGUCCGCGCCGGUGUCGUCGGAGGUGGAGCAGAGAGACCUCCUGGAGGCGGUGGUCGCCAGCCUCCCGGCGGACAAGGGCUCGGGGAGCGUGGUGACCGCGAAGUUCCUGUUCGCGCUGCUGCGGACGGCGCACAUCCUGCGCGCUUCGGACGCGGCGCGCGCCGCGAUCGAGCGGAAGGCCGCGACGCAGCUGGAACAGGCAACGGUGGAGGACGUGCUCAUCCCGAGCUACUCCGGCGCCGCGGAGACGCUCUACGACGUGGACUGCGUCGAGCGGGUGGUCAGGCACUUCCUGGCCGAGGAGGAGGUCGGCGAGGACGAGGCGUCGUCGUCAGCCGCAAUCACCGAGGAGGAAGCGGCGGCGAGGACGACGGCGUCGCGCCCGUCGGCCGUGGCAAUGACGCAGGUGGGCAAGCUGGUGGACAACUACCUGGCAGAGGUCGCGUCCGACGCCAACCUGAAGCCAGCCAAAUUCUGCGAGCUCGCGCUGGCAAUGCCGGACCACGCCCGCAUCUACGACGAUGGCGUCUACCGCGCCGUCGACAUCUACCUCAAGGCGCAUCCGCGGCUGACGACGGAGGAGCGGGACAGGGUGUGCGGCGUGGUGGACUGCCGGAAGCUGACGGUGGAGGCGUGCACGCACGCGGCGCAGAACGAGCGGCUCCCGCUGCGCGCGGUGCUGCAGGUGCUCUUCUUCGAGCAGCUGCAGCUCCGGCGCGCCAUCACGGGCACGCUGCUGGCGUCCACGGCUUCCCCGCGAGCACGGCAUCCGCAGCCGCAGCCGGCGGCGGCGGCGGUGCGUCACGCGGCUGGCCCGAGCGAGGCGUGGCGGACGACGACGGUGCAGGAGAGCCAGACGCUGCGGCUGGACAUGGACGGCAUGAGGACCCGCGUGCAGGGCCUCGAGAGGGAGUGCUCCAGCAUGCGGCGGGCGAUCAAGAAGAUCGACGGCCGCGGCGGCACCGCGUCGCCCAGCAGCGCCAGCAGCCCGGACGCGGCCGCCCCGGCGGGCUGGCGGUCGCGGUACCGGUGCAAGUUCAGCACGCAGGUGUGCGACUCUCAGGCGCGCGACGCGGUCGUGUCCAGGGCGUCCAGAAUGGGGAUGAGCCCGUGA